rnacentral:sRNA from 1 species
GUGACAUCGCCGGUGUUUGCGGGUGGUUGUUGCUCUCGGGGCCGUGUGGAGUAGGUCUGGACCUGGACUCACGGCUGCUUGGAGCGUCCGCCAUGAGGAGAAGUUUUAACUUUAGCCAUUCUUUGAGCUGCCGGUUGUAAUUUAAGAAUACUAGGCCCAGGCGCAGUGGCUCAUGCCUGUAAUCCCAGCACUUUGGGAGGCCGAGUGAGGUGCUGGCGGAGGAGUCCAUAGUAUGUCUGCAGAAAGCCCUAAAUCACCUUCGGGAAAUAUGGGAGCUAAUUGGGAUUCCAGAGGACCAGCGGUUACAAAGAACUGAGGUGGUAAAGAAGCAUAUCAAGGAACUCCUGGAUAUGAUGAUUGCUGAAGAGGAAAGCCUGAAGGAAAGACUCAUCAAAAGCAUAUCCGUCUGUCAGAAAGAGCUG